CAUUGUUUGGGGGAAAAGUAACAGGAACCUCAGGGACAGUCCCCAGAGAGCCCCCAGUACAACUGCUCUUAGUGGGCCUCAAGUCAUUCUGCUCAAUUCAGUCACUCAUCCACCCACUUAUAGAUAUUUCUCGAGAAUGAUGCUCCAGGAACUGGGAAAGGUAAGGCAGUGCCUGCCGUGCAGGAUGUCCCAGUCCAACAGGAGCCAGGAAAGAAGAGCCCUGCAUGCAGAACCAGAGGAGCUACAGGAGCAUUCCGGGGACCUCAGGAAAAGCUGUCGCCACUACAUGCAGUGGCUGAUAGGAAGACUCUGCUCAAGCCGGUACCCAAGCCCAGUCAGAUCACCCCUCCUAAGAUCUCAGGACGUGGAGUGGAGCAGCGAGGUCUGAAGGAGUAAAGAAAGUGGAGAGAGGAGCAGAAGGCAGUGUCGCUACGGCAGCUAUAAGGUCUUCUGCAGGGACCUCCUGAGUGGCAGAACUGCUAUGGACAUAGUGCAGCCACUUGCUCUAAGCUUAGCAAUAUGGAAAAAUGGUGGGGAUGCGUAAAUGCCCACUUCCAAACUCAUCAUUAUAAUAACGUAUUUUCUCCUGCUUGUUUUUCACCAAAAACUCAUCUGGAAAAAAUGGUCACUGGAAAUAUUUCAAAAAGCUUUCUGUUUUCAAAAGGAAAGCCUAUGUGAGGAGACAGAGAGGACCCUCAUCAUUUGUGGAUGCUACAUAUGCAAAUCCCCCGAGACGCUGAAAUGUGUUUGUAACGCCCACAUCAGUCCUUAGGCCACCGUCAUGGUCAUUUACAAAGAAGAGGAAAUUUAAGUUGUCCAAGGCAUGUGCUCCUGGCACAGGAGACAUUCGGCCUUGUUUCAGCUCCCACCCUCUAAACAAAUGUCCUUUCCACGGUCUAUUUAGGGCAACACUUCUGUUUUUGUUGGUGGUUUUACGUUUUAAAAAGGCCCCCAGGAGUGGCCUGUCGCAAGUGAUGUCCACUGCUCCUGAGAGCAGGAAGGUGGUGACGGGCCUGAUGGAGCCAGUAGGUGCGUUGGUGACCCUCCUUCAGGCGUGAGAUGUAGUGCUGGGGGCUAGGAGUUCAACAGGAGCAAAUCAGUAAUAUGUAUUAAAAAGGAGUCUUUAAACAGAAACACACACAAUGUAAGAGUACAAAUUGAUCCCUUGACAAAAUGUUGUGACCAGAACUCACAGAAACUGAAAGUCCUCAUAAGGAGAGGGAAAUCUGGGCACACGCACACACACAGAAUACCACGUGAAGACAGAGGCUGGAGUGAGGCAGCCGCAAGCCAAGGGAGGCCUGGAGCCCCUGGAAGCUGGGAGAGGUGAGGACUGAUCCACCCUAGAGGCCGCGGAGGGAGACUAGCCCUAUGAAUACUUUGGCCUCCAGAACUGUUUACAUUACCUUACGCUGGUCCUGUGGUCAACAGCAUCAAAAGCGUUGCAGUAGGCUAACUGCUGCCCAGGAACCCAACCUUGAGUGAUGGGGCAGGAUUGCUGUAAAUGACCACCCUCGAUAUAUCAUCACCCAUAGCUAUACUUUGCUGUACUUUUCUAUUCACUUUUAUCAGCAUCCCAAAACUGCCUGCACAGUGUUCUUAC